UACAGGGAAAGUUUUAACGCCGAAAGAUGAGCCCGCACUUGAUUAGCUAGUUGGUAAGGUAAAAGCUUACCAAGGCUACGAUCAAUAGCUGUUCUUAGAGGAAGACCAGCCACAUUGGGACUGAGACACGGCCCAGACUCCUACGGGAGGCAGCAGUGGGGAAUCUUGCACAAUGGGGGAAACCCUGAUGCAGCGAUGCCGCGUGAGUGAAGAAGGUCCUUGGAUUGUAAAACUCUUUGGUCGGGGAAGAAAAUGACUGUACCCGAAUAAGA
rnacentral:rRNA from 1 species